GAUGAAGAACGUAGCGAAAUGCGAUAAGUAAUGUGAAUUGCAGAAUUCAGUGAAUCAUCGAAUCUUUGAACGCACAUUGCGCCCGUCAGUAUUCUGGCGGGCAUGCCUGUUCGAGCGUCAUUACGCCCCUCAAGUCCCCUGUGGACUUGGUGUUGGGGAUCGGCGAGGCUGGUUUUCCAGCACAGCCGUCCCUUAAAUUAAUUGGCGGUCUCGCCGUGGCCCUCCUCUGCGCGGUAGUAAAACACUCGCAACAGGAGCCCGGCGCGGUCCACUGCCGUAAAACCCCCCAACUUUUUAUAGUUGACCUCGAAUCAGGUAGGACUACCCGCUGAACUUAAGCAUAUCAAUAAGCGGAGGA
rnacentral:misc_RNA from 1 species